UACGGGGGGAGCAAGCGUUGUUCGGAUUUACUGGGCGUAAAGGGCGCGUAGGCGGUCGUGACAAGUCACUUGUGAAAUCUCCGGGCUUAACUCGGAACGGUCAAGUGAUACUGUCGGACUAGAGUACAGAAGGGGCAACUGGAAUUCUCGGUGUAGCGGUGAAAUGCGUAGAUAUCUGGAGGAACACCGGUGGCGAAGGCGGCAUCCUGGACCGACGACUGACGCUGAGGAGCGAAAGCCAGGGGAGCAAACGGG
rnacentral:rRNA from 1 species